AACCAUAGAAACCUGCGGAGUACCUGCGGAAGGAUCAUUACCGAGUUUACAACUCCCAAACCCCUGUGAACAUACCACUUGUUGCCUCGGCGGAUCAGCCCGCUCCCGGUAAAACGGGACGGCCCGCCAGAGGACCCCUAAACUCUGUUUCUAUAUGUAACUUCUGAGUAAAACCAUAAAUAAAUCAAAACUUUCAACAACGGAUCU
rnacentral:misc_RNA from 1 species